rnacentral:lncRNA from 1 species
GGGGGGGGCAGCAUAACAUUCCAUGUGUGUGUGUGAGGGAGAGAGAUGUCUUCCAAGUGUUCAAAUGAAGGGAAAAACCACUCUCCAGUGUUCAAUGAAAUGUCUUUGAUUUGGAUUUCAGAGAUAGAGCAUACAGGGCAACAUGUACUGUCCUUGUGAGAGAGAGAGAGAGAGAGAGUCCAAGUGAGAGAAUAAAACAGAUUCCCUGCAAAUGUCCGACGCAAUGUUUGGACUCAAAUUCCAUUGCUUUUUACCAUUUUCGGGUUUGGGGUUAAAGGCUAUACAACAUGCCCUGCAAAAUCUUUGAUGAAAUAUCAUUCUCAAAAGAAUGUUUGAUGAAAUAUCCUCUCUCUCUCUCCCUCUCUCUCUCUCUCACACACACACAUGCACGUGCCUCUCUCUCUCUCUCUCACACACACACACACACCACCACCCACCCACACACACACACACACAAAGUGUCCACUUGCCCAAUGCACCCGCCAGCUUAGGCAGCACAUAGGUCACAUUGAUGGGCACCCAGAGGGUCCCCAUCCAGGUUGGGGUGCCUCGACAGAGCAGAGUGCUGACGCGCCCCACUCUUUGAAACACUGAUAUGGCUUUUAUGGUGGCAGACAGGUACUCAUGUGUGAUCCUAAGAUUUUCCUGGGCACUAAAAAGGGAAAAGAAGUAAUCCAUAAGGAUAAAGGAAGGCUGCAUGCAUUACCAAAUAGCAUAGAGAACAAAAUUAAACCAUAACCAUCAAUGGUUCAAGGAGCAUAGCAUGUCAGCUUAAGAAAGCUCUUGAGCCACUACACCUAUAUUGUUUUUCUAACAUCAGUUGUCUAUCACCCCAUUGUUUACAUUAGUUAAUAUCAUGUCAUUAGUCUAUAUCAAGACAUGACAUUUUUUGCUACUACUUUCCAUGGUUUGAGCAUAUAACAAUCCAGAUGCCACGACAACUACAGAUCCACUAUCAGCUUUUAUAAUUCUUGUGAAACACCCCCACUCAUCUCAUGGAUGAGAAAAAAGCACAACAGAGCAUAAGUCUAUAGUUGGAAAACAAUAUCAAGCUAAGCAUUACUUGACAUGAGAUCCUGUGGUAAGAACAUUGUCGUGCUAUUUACCGACGAAGCAGUUCCUGUAGUUGGGGCAAUGUUUUUACCAAUUCUAUGAAUUGAUAUACAAGUAAAGCCCAAACAGAUGCAUGUCCUUUUGAUAAAAUAUGGAUUUUCUUGGACCUCCAGAAUGCACAUCAACUCCUCAUUGCUAUCAUCACCGUAUAAUCAAAAUUACAAUAGUAGCAAAUAGGGUGAUGCUCAAUUUCAAAGUAAGAAAAGCUAGGUUUAGGCUAGUUCAUCACCCUAGUCAACUGAUAAAAACUAAAUGAGAUCCACAAGCUCAACAUCAGGCACAGCAGCAUGUUUAAAGUAAUUAUACUGAUGUAAGACAGUUCGGAAGUCCUGCAUAUACUCUGCUUUAAAAUGAGACCAAUAAUUGCAAACCCAGCAGUCUGGUACAAAUUCAUUGGUUUGCCGCUUUCACAACCAAUCUAUUACAGAAAAUAUAAAGGUGAGUAAUAGAAUUGAAUACACAGAAGCACCAAAGAUACAUCAAAGAACUCCUUACCAUAAAGUACUAAUAAUGUUUUUCACAGUAUACCUU